rnacentral:rRNA from 1 species
GAUGAACGCUAGCGGGAGGCUUAACACAUGCAAGUCGAGGGGCAGCAUAGGGUAGCAAUACUCUGAUGGCGACCGGCAAACGGGUGAGUAACGCGUAUGCAACCUACCCUGUACAGGGGGAUAACCCGGAGAAAUUCGGACUAAUAUCCCGUAAUAAUAUCCGGAGGCAUCUUUGGAUAUUUAAAGUUCCGACGGUACGGGAUGGGCAUGCGUAACAUUAACUGGUUGGUAAGGUAACGGCUUACCAAGGCUAUGAUGUUUAGGGGUCCUGAGAGGGUGGUCCCCCACACUGGUACUGAGACACGGACCAGACUCCUACGGGAGGCAGCAGUGAGGAAUAUUGGUCAAUGGGCGCAAGCCUGGACCAGCCAUCCCGCGUGCAGGAAGACGGCCCUAUGGGUUGUAAACUGCUUUUCCAGGGAGAGAAACUUACGCACGUGUUGCGUGACUGACGGUACCCUGGGAAUAAGCAUCGGCUAACUCCGUGCCAGCAGCCGACGGUAAAACGUCUA